GUGGGGUUGUGGCUCAGCGGUAGAGCACUCAACUGGUAUGUGUGAGGCCCUGGGUUCGAUCCUCAGCACCACA
rnacentral:tRNA from 1 species